rnacentral:rRNA from 1 species
UACAGAGGUCUCAAGCGUUGUUCGGAUUCAUUGGGCGUAAAGGGUGUGUAGGUGGCGCCGUAAGUCGGGUGUGAAAUUUCGGAGCUUAACUCCGAAACUGCAUUCGAUACUGCGGUGCUUGAGGACUGGAGAGGAGACUGGAAUUCCUGGUGUAGCGGUGAAAUGCGCAGAUAUCGGGAGGAACACCAAUGGCGAAGGCAGCUCGCUGGGACGUUACUGACGCUGAGACGCGAAAGCGUGGGGAGCAAACAGG